AUGGUCCUACGUGAUCAUCAAGGACACAUUAUCUUUGCUGCAUACCGGGUCCUGUUCCAUUGCAACGACGUUCUUGAAGCUGAAAUUCAUGCGCUGAUGCAAGGCAUGGCCUUGGCAAUCCAACACACUGAGCUUUCGGUCAUCAUCCAGUCUGAUUCUUCGGAAGCCUUAGCGAGCUUAUCAACAAAUGCUUUAACUCGCUCAGCUUAUGGUCAUUUGGUUCUUGAGAUUAAGGAGUUGAUGAGUAGUAGGGAGUUUAUACCGCAGAAAAUUUAUCGCACUCAAAAUAGAGUUGCCGAUCGGUUGGCCAAUUAUAGCCGUUCCAAGCGAACUACAGCUGUGUGGUUGCGUUCGGUUCCACCUUGUAUUGAGGGUUUGUGGCCUCUCGACUGUAACACUAUGACAUCUUAA
rnacentral:rRNA from 1 species